AUGAAAAUGAUAAUCAUCUGCUUCAAUUUAUCAACCAACCAAUCUUUCGGCUUACUCAAAGAUUUUUAACUUUUUUUAGGUUAACAUGCUUUGCAGUAUGUUUUGCGGUGGGAGUAAGAGUUGAUCCAGACAACCUAACCAAUUUCAUCAUGAAGGCUGUCUUACAUGCAUUGAUCUAAUUAAGUUUUAGAUUCAACCGUGGUAAAGUUCAGCAGAUUAGUGCGCAUGUACAUACGUGUUAUAUAUAUAUAUACAUAUAUAUAGACACACAUGUAUACAUACAUAUAUAUGGCUAUGUUGCAAAGUCUGCCGCUAAAUGAUGGACAAUGUACAUCCCAUCAAAUUCUAGUGGAGGAUGCAUAUGUGUCAUCAAAGUUUAUGGUUGUCUAUCAGUCCACCACUCAAUGUAUAACUUAAUUAUCUACAGCAGCAAAAUUAUCUCU